GGGUUCCUACGGGGCGCAGCAGUGAGGAAUAUUGGUCAAUGGGCGGAAGCCUGAACCAGCCACGUCGCGUGAGGGAAUAAGGCCCUACGGGUCGUAAACCUCUUUUGCCGGGGAGCAAGGGCCGGGACGCGUCCCGGCCCGGAGAGUACCCGGAGAAAAAGCAUCGGCUAACUCCGUGCCAGCAGCCGCGGUAAUACGGAGGAUGCGAGCGUUAUCCGGAUUUAUUGGGUUUAAAGGGUGCGUAGGCGGGCUUUUAAG
rnacentral:rRNA from 1 species